rnacentral:misc_RNA from 1 species
GAGUUCGCGGGAGAGUAAGUUAUUGCCAGGGUUUUUAUUUUGUAAUUUAAACCUUAAAUUUAUUUUUUAUAUUUUUUUAAUGUUUAUGUUUUUGAAUGUUUUAUUCAAAUAAUGUAAAAAAUAAAAUAGAUAUUGACAUGGAUUGAACAAAAGAUAUAUAUUAUUUUAUGUUGCAUAAACAAAUUGGCAAAAUAGAGAUGGAAGAUAAAAAUAUGGUCAAAGUAAUAAGAGUCUAUGGUGAAUGCC